AGAGUUUGAUCCUGGCUCAGGAUGAACGCUAGCGGCAGGCUUAACACAUGCAAGUCGAGGGGCAGCGCGAGGUAGCAAUACUUUGGCGGCGACCGGCGCACGGGUGCGUAACGCGUAUGCAACCUACCCACUACAGGGGGAUAACGGAGGGAAACUUCCACUAAUAUCCCAUGGUGUUGUUUUUUCGCAUGGAGAAACAACUAAAGCUUCGGUGGUAGUGGAUGGGCAUGCGUGACAUUAGGUAGUUGGCGGGGCAACGGCCCACCAAGCCGACGAUGUCUAGGGGAGCUGAGAGGCUUAUCCCCCACACUGGUACUGAGACACGGACCAGACUCCUACGGGAGGCAGCAGUGAGGAAUAUUGGUCAAUGGACGGAAGUCUGAACCAGCCAUGCCGCGUGGAGGAAGAAGGUCCUAUGGGUUGUAAACUCCUUUUGUUCCAGAGUAAUAAGGGCUUUGCGAAGCCUGAUGAGAGUAUGGGACGAAUAAGCAUCGGCUAACUCCGUGCCAGCAGCCGCGGUAAUACGGAGGAUGCAAGCGUUAUCCGGAUUUAUUGGGUUUAAAGGGUGCGCAGGCGGAUAGUUAAGUCAGCGGUGAAAUCUCACGGCUCAACCGUGGAACUGCCGUUGAUACUGGCUGUCUGGAGUACGGACGGCGCCGGCGGAAUGUGUCAUGUAGCGGUGAAAUGCUUAGAUAUGCCACAGAACACCGAUCGCGAAGGCAGCUGGCGAGGCCGGUACUGACGCUCAGGCACGAAAGCGUGGGGAUCAAACAGGAUUAGAUACCCUGGUAGUCCACGCAGUAAACGAUGAGGACUUGUUGUCGGCGAUAGAAUGUCGGUGACAAAGCGAAAGCGAUAAGUCCUCCACCUGGGGAGUACGAUCGCAAGGUUGAAACUCAAAGGAAUUGACGG
rnacentral:rRNA from 1 species